rnacentral:rRNA from 1 species
GACGAACGCUGGCGGCGUGCUUAACACAUGCGAGUCGAACGGAAAGGCCCUGCUUUUGUGGGGUGCUCGAGUGGCGAACGGGUGAGUAACACGUGAGUAACCUGCCCUUGACUUUGGGAUAACUUCAGGAAACUGGGGCUAAUACCGGAUAGGAGCUCCUGCUGCAUGGUGGGGGUUGGAGAGUUUCGGCGGUUGGGGAUGGACUCGCGGCUUAUCAGCUUGUUGGUGGGGUAGUGGCUUACCAAGGCUUUGACGGGUAGCCGGCCUGAGAGGGUGACCGGCCACAUUGGGACUGAGAUACGGCCCAGACUCCUACGGGAGGCAGCAGUGGGGAAUAUUGCACAAUGGGCGGAAGCCUGAUGCAGCAACGCCGCGUGCGGGAUGACGGCCUUCGGGUUGUAAACCGCUUUCGCCUGUGACGAAGCGUGAGUGACGGUAAUGGGUAAAGAAGCACCGGCUAACUACGUG